AGUCGUAACAAGGUUUCCGUAGGUGAACCUGCGGAAGGAUCAUUACUGAGUGAGGGCCCUCUGGGUCCAACCUCCCACCCGUGUUUAUUUACCUUGUUGCUUCGGCGGGCCCGCCUUAACUGGCCGCCGGGGGGCUUACGCCCCCGGGCCCGCGCCCGCCGAAGACACCCUCGAACUCUGUCUGAAGAUUGUAGUCUGAGUGAAAAUAUAAAUUAUUUAAAACUUUCAACAACGGAUCUCUUGGUUCCGGCAUCGAUGAAGAACGCAGCGAAAUGCGAUACGUAAUGUGAAUUGCAAAUUCAGUGAAUCAUCGAGUCUUUGAACGCACAUUGCGCCCCCUGGUAUUCCGGGGGGCAUGCCUGUCCGAGCGUCAUUGCUGCCCUCAAGCACGGCUUGUGUGUUGGGCCCCGUCCUCCGAUUCCGGGGGACGGGCCCGAAAGGCAGCGGCGGCACCGCGUCCGGUCCUCGAGCGUAUGGGGCUUUGUCACCCGCUCUGUAGGCCCGGCCGGCGCUUGCCGAUCAACCCAAAUUUUUAUCCAGGUUGACCUCGGAUCAGGUAGGGAUACCCGCUGAACUUAAGCAUAUCAAUAA
rnacentral:misc_RNA from 1 species